rnacentral:rRNA from 1 species
UGGGGAAUAUUGCACAAUGGGGGAAACCCUGAUGCAGCGACGCCGCGUGAACGAAGAAGGUAUUCGUAUCGUAAAGUUCUGUCCUAUGGGAAGAUAAUGACAGUACCAUAGAAGAAAGCUCCGGCUAAAUACGUGCCAGCAGCCGCGGUAAUACGUAUGGAGCGAGCGUUGUCCGGAAUUAUUGGGCGUAAAGGGUACGCAGGCGGUUUAAUAAGUCGAAUGUUAAAGAUCGGGGCUCAACCCCGUAAAGCAUUGGAAACUAAUAAACUUGAGUAGUGGAGAGGAAAAUGGAAUUCCUAGUGUAGUGGUGAAGAACGUAGAUAUGAGGAGGAGUACCAGUAGCGAAGACGACUUUCUGGACGCAAACUGACGCUGAGGUACGAAGGCGUGAGGAGCAGACAGG